rnacentral:rRNA from 1 species
ACGUAGGGGCCAAGCGUUGUCCGGAGUUACUGGGCGUAAAGCGUGCGCAGGCGGCUCGUUGCGCCCGACGUGAAAGCCCCCGGCUCAACCGGGGAGGGUCGUCGGGGACGGGCGAGCUUGAGGGUGGCAGGGGCUGGUGGAGCUCCCGGUGUAGUGGUGAAAUGCGUAGAGAUCGGGAAGAACACCCGUGGCGAAGGCGGCCAGCUGGGCCACACCUGACGCUGAGGCACGAAGGCGUGGGGAGCGAACGG